rnacentral:rRNA from 1 species
UACGUAGGGAGCAAGCGUUGUCCGGAAUCAUUGGGCGUAAAGCGCGCGUAGGUGGCCUCAUAAGUCCGCUGUGAAAGUCACAGGCUCAACCUGUGAAAGCGGGUGGAUACUGCCGGGCUAGAGUCCGGAAGAGGCGAGUGGAAUUCCUGGUGUAGCGGUGGAAUGCGCAGAUAUCAGGAGGAACACCAACGGCGAAGGCAGCUCGCUGGGACGGUACUGACACUGAGGCGCGAAAGCGUAGGGAGCGAACAGG